UGGUUCUAGGCAGGGUCCAAGGCACAAACAUGUUUUGCAGCGUCAGGCAGUACCCUGUGGCAUGUCAAACACUAACUGUAUAAGUCAUACGCAUCGAUACAUCUUUCGUAUGCUUCAUCAAUGCAACUUUUAUCAAAUAAAUUUACUAAUGAUCACAGUAAGAAAACCUCACUUUAUUUUAAAAUCAGUGUAAAUUCUUAGAUAGAUGUUAUUCAUCCAGGAUCAUAGAACGAGACAUCUAAUGAAAAAGCGAGGGAAAGGGUGCAGUCAGUUAUCCUUGACAUGUCAAAUGUGGUAAACAUCGACACUUCAGGACUUGUGAGGUUGAAGUAAAUACACAUCGACCUGUUGUCUAUGGGCAUACAUGUGAAAUGAUGAACUGACAAGCAUACUUAUGUUUUGGCAAGUAUUUCCAGUUUACUCUGUAUAAAAAUUCUAACUCGAGUGUUCAAUCAUUAUCUGCAGAUUGCUAUUGCCAGUCAAAGAUGGAAAGGUUACAAUAUCUGAUACCGAAGUGCAUACACUGCCGGUCAUCCAUAUGAGCUCUCUUAUAAUUUGUUUUGUUUGCACGGUGCCUUUCAUCGCUUAAUUUUUCGGAGUAUGAUGUUUGCUCAGUGCUUGGUCAUGCGCAGGCAUGUUAGUUCGUAUGUUUGCUUUUUUUUUCUCCUGCAUAUUCUAUGUACGUACUCUGCAUACCUGUUAAUUAAUAUAUGGCCUUUUGUUUCUCUGGUUUCUAGGAUCAAUCCUCAGAAUCAGUUUGAUACGCAAGACAACGAAGAUUUUACCUAUUCUACUACUGCACGCAGCUGCUAUAUGUUAAGUUUCUGGAGCUGGUUCUGGAGUGCAAGCACUACCCUAGCUUUUCAUUGAACUAUUUUGUAACUACGCAAUCUGCGUUUAUAAAUGCAGAUAAGUUGUUUGAAAUUCAGUAUUCCAGCUUGAGCUUAAAUAGUGUUUGCUACUGAA